CUUGCACAGUGGAUUAGUGGCGAACGGGUGAGUAACACGUGAGUAACCUGCCCUUCACUUUGGGAUAACUCCGAGAAAUCGGGGCUAAUACCGGAUAUGACAUCUUCCCUCCUGGGUUGGUGUGGAAAGCUCCGGCGGUCAGGGAUGGGCUCGCGGCCUAUCAGCUUGUUGGUGAGGUAAUGGCUCACCAAGGCUUCGACGGGUAGCCGGCCUGAGAGGGCGACCGGCCACACUGGGACUGAGAUACGGCCCAGACUCCUACGGGAGGCAGCAGUGGGGAAUAUUGCACAAUGGGCGCAAGCCUGAUGCAGCAACGCCGCGUGCGGGAUGACGGCCUUCGGGUUGUAAACCGCUUUCAGUAGGGACGAAGCUAACGUGACGGUACCUACAGAAGAAGGACCGGCUAACCUACGUGCCCAGCAGCCGCGGUGAUACGUAGGGUCCGAGCGUUGUCCGGAAUUAUUGGGCGUAAAGGGCUUGUAGGCGGUCCGUCGCGUCAGGAGUGAAAACUCGGGGCUUAAACCCCGAGCCUGCUUUUGAUACGGGCGGACUAGAGGGAUGCAGGGGAGAACGGAAUUCCUGGUGGAGCGGUGGAAUGCGCAGAUUUCAGGAGGAACACCGGUGGCGAAGGCGGUUCUCUGGGCAUCACCUGACGCUGAGAAGCGAAAGCGUGGGGAGCAAACAGGCUUAGAUACCCUGGUAGUCCACGCCGUAAACGGUGGGCACUAGGUGUGGGGGACAUUCCACGUUCUCCGUGCCGAAGCUAACGCAUUAAGUGCCCCGCCUGGGGAGUACGGCCGCAAGGCUAAAACUCAAAGGAAUUGACGGGGGCCCGCACGAGCGGCGGAGCAUGCGGAUUAAUUCGAUGCAACGCGAAGAACCUUACCUGGGUUUGACAUACACCGGAAAGCUGCAGAGAUGUAGCCCCCGCAAAGGUCGGUGUACAGGUGGUGCAUGGCUGUCGUCAGCUCGUGUCGUGAGAUGUUGGGUUAAGUCCCGCAACGAGCGCAACCCUCGUUCUAUGUUGCCAGCACGUGAUGGUGGGGACUCAUAGGAGACUGCCGGGGUCAACUCGGAGGAAGGUGGGGAUGACGUCAAGUCAUCAUGCCCCUUAAGUCCAGGGCUUCACGCAUGCUACAAUGGCCGGUACAAAGGGCUGCGAUACCGCAAGGUGGAGCGAAUCCCAAAAAGCCGGUCUCAGUUCGGAUUGGGGUCUGCAACUCGACCCCAUGAAGUCGGAG
rnacentral:rRNA from 1 species